GGUCGAGUUGCACAGGCAUAACAUAAAAUGGCGUCGUUUUGAGGCCACCAGAACAGGCCCCAAACGACGUCGUUUUCUCAAGCAUAUAAAGCCCUCUUUAAUAGAUCAAUCAACCCUUCCCUUUUUGAUAUUAACCCUAGCUGUUUUCAUCCAUCCAAACCCCAAAGAGGACAAGCCCAAGCCACCAUGUAGCCACCGCAAACGGUGGCCGACGGAGGGUGGUCUGUUCGGAUUCUAACCCCGUUCAGACCCGCAAUCAAGAAUCUAACCUCUAUGAUAGCAAAGAAUCAAAAAGAUAGUAUCACCCUCUUUAUUAGAUCUGGUUUCAACGGAGAAGAAACUCCGAUAUAUACCAACGGUCUACGAUUCAGACGCACAAAGGUCAACGGGGCGGAGACUUCCAUUUUGGUGCAAAGGAUGGGCAGAGCCGGUCCUCGGGCAUCGAAUGCGCUGCUGAAGCACGUGGGCAGCAAAGGGGAGGCGUGGCGCUGAGGCUAGCUAAGGUUUCGGCUAGCUGAGGCUUAGUUUGGACACUGGGCCUAUUGGGCCGAUUGGGUUAAGGGUUUAGGAUUUGUUUGUAAAAUGGGUAGGAUUUGGGCCUUUUGUUUUUUUAUUAUUUUUUAUGUUCGGGCCGGUCAAUGGUUUGGGCCCGGGCAAAUUUGGGUACUCACACAAGGAACAAUGAAGAGUUUCUUGGAUGAAAAAUGAUGAACAUUUUCAUUAAGAAUGAAUAAUGGCAUAAUGCCAAUACAUAAA